GCAGACCUAUCCCGAAGUUCAAGGAAGCAGAGAGGCCGAAGAAAGAAGCUGCCCUUGGCCAGGAUGGGGAAGGACCUAAGCCGUCAGUGUCCUGGAGAUCCAGCGUCUUAAUUCAUUCAGGGUAGCCCGUCCCGCCCUCCAGACUGCUGGGCACACCAGGGGCUUUGCUCCUGCUCUGUCCCAGGACUCGGGGCCCCUCCAGGGCAGCUGCCGUGACGUUGUGGAUAUGAGGCAUUCAGCCACCUCCCAGAAUGCGCCAUGCUCUUGCCCAGCCUGGACUCCCCACUCUCUGCUGCUGGCGCCAGGACAGUCUCACCCACCUCGGCCUCUAGCUCCUCCUCCUCAAGCCUCAGGUCUGAACUUGGCCAUGGCCUCUGCCCAGAAGCCUUCUGCACCUCUGUCAGAUCCCCGUUUACCCCCAGCAGGACCCUCCCUUAGGGCACUUGGUACAAUUUCACAUCCGUGACAGUGACAGUCACCGCCCCCAUGCUGUGAGCCCCACGGGAGUCCGAGCUGACGUCAUUCUUCCCCUACUAUGUGCCUCAUCCACUUUGAGCUCCUG
rnacentral:lncRNA from 1 species